CCUGGGGUCCAGAAAAUAGAGUCCAGCAGGAGAGAAGAAAUCUCCAGGAUGUGGAUAAAGAGAAAUACCAUUGGCCAGCUGAGCAGCAGAUGGGAUUUUCCAAAAGGAGCAGAAAGUCAGUAGGAGAAAAGUUGGAGCUGUACAUCCUCAAUGAGUUGCUACUUCUGUUAUACACAGAAAAUUAAAAGUUGAAUGAAACCCGCAACUAAGAAAUACCAAGUUCAACUAAAUUAAUAAAAUGUGGUGAUGUCCUGUGCUAUUUUGGGAUUCUGCAGCGUCCCAAAAGCAAGAAGACCCUCACCAGGUGUGGUCCCUCAGCCUUGGAUCCUCACCUCCAUAACUGCAGCUUCAAAGAUCACCAACUGUAAGAAACAGGAAGAGACUUUGAAGUAGAUAACUUCUUGUGUUUUUUUCACAUAUUCCCUGGUGGAAUUUUAGUUUUGUAUCAUGCUUUUCCAAGUUUUUCUCCAGAUGUUGUAUAGUUUUUUGUUUUUGUUUUUUUUUUUUUUUUUCCCGGAAAAGUUUAGACAUCUUGUACACAGACAUCAAGAUCUAAAAACGGAGGCGCCAGCUCUAUUUUACAAAAAUAUCUGAUAGUAUCUUAUUGAAGAAUGUUGGAAUCAUUCAAGCGACUGCUUCUAUCCAGUUUCCACGCUGUCUGAAGAUCCUCCUUGAAAUCCCAUGUAACCUUUAGUAUAAUGCCCACGUUAAGAAAAGUGGGUCAGUGAUUAAAGACAUAUUGAAUCAUG